GAUGAACGCUGGCGGCAUGCCUAAUACAUGCAAGUCGAACGAUAGGAAGGAAAGCUUGCUUUUCUGAAUCUAGUGGCGAACGGGUGAGUAACACGUAGGUAACCUGCCCAUGUGCCCGGGAUAACUUCUGGAAACGGAUGCUAAAACCGGAUAGGUAGCAGACAAGCAUUUGACUGCUAUUAAAGUGGCUAAGGCCAUGAACAUGGAUGGACCUGCGGUGCAUUAGCUAGUUGGUGAGGUAACGGCCCACCAAGGCGACGAUGCAUAGCCGGGCUGAGAGGGCGGACGGCCACAUUGGGACUGAGACACGGCCCAAACUCCUACGGGAGGCAGCAGUAGGGAAUUUUCGUCAAUGGGGGGAACCCUGAACGAGCAAUGCCGCGUGAGUGAGGAAGGUCUUCGGAUCGUAAAGCUCUGUUGUAAGAGAAAAACGACAUUCAUAGGGAAUGAUGAGUGAGUGAUGGUAUCUUACCAGAAAGUCACGGCUAACUACGUGCCAGCCGCCGCGGUAA
rnacentral:rRNA from 1 species